AUGGAGGCGAACACUAGGGUGAUGAGGAGGGAGGAAGUUGGCCGCCGCGCCCACCGCCGCCGCGGUGCAAGCUCGAAGUCGUCGGUGCCUCGCAAGAACUUGGGGCUUAUGGGCGUGCGCCAGCGGCACUGGGGUCGGUGGGCGGCGGAGAUCCGCGUGCCCCGCACUCGCGCCAGGCUGUGGAUCGGCACAUUCCAGUGCCCUGAGCAGGCGGCACUCGCCUACGACGUCGCACUCUUUUGCUUCUACGGAGACACCCCACCGCGCAAGUUCAACUUCCCCGGCGCGCCGCGGCCCUACGUCCCCGAGUACCGCCGCGGCAGCCUCCCGCUUCCCGAUAUCAAGGCCAUCGCCAAGAGGCACGCCCUCAAUCUCUACCGCCUCUUCACUCGGUCGAACGUGCCCUUGCCCAUGCCCGUGCCAGCAGCUAUUGAACCCGUCGCUGAUGUGGCCAUGGUGGCCGCCGCCGGCGCAGGUAGUGCAACUAAUAACACUGGUGUCACCGCUGCUCCUGAACAUGGUAACAACAGCGAGAAUUACAUCAACAUGGACAACAAUGUGGUUGAAGACGACCCCGUGCUCUCCAUGGGAAUCGACGACUUCGCGGACAUUGUUGCCCUAUGUUAG
rnacentral:rRNA from 1 species